GUUUCACAUCAGACAUACCGAGGACAAAAGUUUCGGAGAGGAAAUCCCAGAUGAGACGCCGCUUAUUGUUCCUCCCACAAAACAAGAGAUGCAACAUCCUUUUCUGACUCAUCAUCUGGAGCAACAUCAGUUUCUGGUGACGACGGCACAGCUGGAUCAACGCUGGAUCAGCUGUCAGUCUGCAGAAUUUAUUAGAUAUCACACGAUUUACAGAGGCUUUAUCCCGAGGCAUCGCUGACAGAAUCCUUACGUAUACCCACCAAGAGGGAAACUGCACUUAGUGCUGGAUGACAUGACACCAGCCACACACGCUCCCCGGCUGGCCUAGACACACACUGGCACUGCACUGGUCCGCCUAGAGGGUACUGGAAGAGGGAGUUGGAGGCAGGGGCAGUGGGCUACUCCUGCA